rnacentral:rRNA from 1 species
CAUGCAUGCCUUCGAAUAAGAGGAAGCAAUUCUCUCUGAAUCUGCGAACGGCUCCGCACACCAGUUGUAAACUAUAGCAAGCAAGCCUGUAUCCUUUCGGGGGUGCAGGUUACAUGGAUAACCCUGGUAAUUCUGAGGCUAAUACGAGAACGUACUACUCUGCUAACCGGGCAACUGGAAGGCGGGGAGGUGUGUGAUCAUGCACGAGGAAUCUGCUAGGAAUAGUCGCACGCCUGGACCGCGCUACAAACGGUCGGGAUGCCUCACGGUGUCUCGUCCGAGCGGCUCUUGCUUUGUGCUUCUGACCUAUCAACUAGAUGGCAGCGUAAUGGACAUGCUAUGGUUACAACGGGUACAGAGGAUAAGGGUUCGAUCCUGGAGAGUGGGCCUGAGAGAUUGCUCAUACUUCUAAGGAAGGCAGCAGGCGCGCAACGUUCCCCUUGUGCAAUGCAUGAGGGCGUUAGGGGACAUAUGAAUGCUUGCCUUUUAGGUGAGCAAUUCAAAUGGGUCUGUUGUAAACAGGCUC